UUCACAAUAUCUUCAAUAUAUCUUCAACUUAAUAACAUGCUUGCUUGCUGCCUUGAAAAAUUAUAUCUGUUUAUAGCCAAAGGGAAAAACAAAAACAACCUAAGAAAAAACAAUUAGCAAGAAGAUAAAGAGCAAAGAAGUAACAAAAUAAAAAAAGAAAAUAAAAAGAAACGUUUUUUGAGUGUUGUUUUCUUUGUAAUACAGUAGCAAAACAAAUUCUC
rnacentral:lncRNA from 1 species